GUCGCAUGGCGAAUGUACCAAAGAUUUAUCGCUGAGAGAUGGCCUCGCGUCUGAUUAGAUAGUUGGUGAGGUAACGGCCCACAAGUCUGCGAUCAGUAGCCGACCUGAGAGGGUGAUCGGCCACAUUGGAACUGAGACACGGUCCAAACUCCUACGGGAGGCAGCAGUGGGGAAUAUUGCACAAUGGGCGAAAGCCUGAUGCAGCAACGCCGCGUGAGCGACGAAGGCCUUCGGGUCGUAAAGCUCUGUCCUCAAGGAAGAUAAUGACGGUACUUGAGGAGGAAGCCCCGGCUAACUACGUG
rnacentral:rRNA from 1 species